UGAACGCUGGCGGCGUGCCUAACACAUGCAAGUCGAACGGAGUCCAGCCUUUAAGACCUCCGGGUCAAAGAGGGGAAGACUGAGUGGCGGACGGGUGAGUAACACGUGGGCAACCUGGCUCAUAGAGGGGGAUAACAGAGAGAAAUUUCUGCUAAUACCGCAUAAGCACACACUGCCGCAUGGCAGAGGGUGAAAAGAGAAUCGCUAUGAGAUGGACCCGCGUCUGAUUAGCCAGUUGGCAGGGUAAGAGCCUACCAAAGCGACGAUCAGUAGCCGAUCUGAGAGGAUGAACGGCCACAUUGGGACUGAGACACGGCCCAAACUCCUACGGGAGGCAGCAGUGGGGGAUAUUGCACAAUGGGGGGAACCCUGAUGCAGCGACGCCGCGUGAGUGAAGAAGUAUUUCGGUAUGUAAAGCUCUAUCAGCAGGGAAGAUAAUGACAGUACCUGAAUAAGAAGCCCCGGCUAACUACGUG
rnacentral:rRNA from 1 species